GAUCCUGGCUCAGAAUCAACGCUGGCGGCGCGCUUAACACAUGCAAGUCGAACGAGAAAGUGGAGCAAUCCAUGAGUAAAGUGGCGUACGGGUGAGUAACACGUGGGUAAUCUGCCUCUGGGUGGGGAAUAACUCUGGGAAACCGGAGCUAAUACCGCAUAAGCCCGCAAGGGGAAAGGCGAAAGUCGCCGAGAGAGGAGCCCGCGGCUGAUUAGCUAGUUGGUGGGGUAAAAGCCUACCAAGGCAGAGAUCGG
rnacentral:rRNA from 1 species